GGUGCGUGUCCUUAAUAGAAACAGGUUUGGACGGAAUCUGGAGGUUGAAAAGCGGACGCAAUUUCCGACACGUACC
rnacentral:sRNA from 12 species